ACAUAAAUGAUCUUACACAGAAUUUUGAAGAACAGAGGAUUGUAGGGGAGCAGAAUUUGCUACCCCAAAAUGUGUCUCUUUGGCUUAUUUUUAAGGACAAAAACCUCAGGGGGAAACUUUGGCCUUCCCCCUAACUGCCUAAAAGAAUUUAAGACAGAAGCCCUGUUCAGGAAGGAGCUAAUACCACAGAUAGCAAUAUUAUACUAUGAACUAGGUGUGGUAGAUGGAGAGAAACCCAGCAAGGCUCCUUUGAUCAAAGUCCUCCCCAUGUCCCAUUGUCUCUGCAAGGCAUGGCAAACAUUUGUUUACCAAACAUUUGCUUUUGCAUCUCCAGGUGAAUUGCCUUCCUCCCAUUUGCAGUCCCAAACCACUACCCCCAACAUCCUCUCUUGUCUUUAGCUGAAGAUAAAAUUAAGGUGGUGGCUUUGGCCAUUUUGGCAAGUUACUCAGUUUUCUUGGAUUUCUCCCAUGUACACAGGUUAUUGAACUUUGCUUGAUUUUCUACUGUUAUUCCGUCUCAUGUCAAUUUUCAUUCUUAGGCCAGCCAGCAUGGCUGGAAGUUUAGAGGAAAAUUUCUUCCUCCCCUACAGGAUCUUUCAAUACCUCACAUGUGUCUCCCUCCUUCCAUUUUUGCCUCCUAAAGCUUACUCUCUGCCCAGAAGCUACAGUCACUUUUUUUUUCAAGCACAAAGUGGAAGAUAUCACAAUCCUACUCAAAUCCUCCAAGAGCUGGCUUGCUAUCACAAAGUAUAAUCUUAUCUCUUUACAUGGCUUUCAAAGCCCCACAUGCUCUGGUUCCUGCUUCCUCACCUCUUAUUACACACACUCUCUUCCACCCCUCUGCCCGUCUCCAUUCAACUUCUUGUUCUUACCAAGCUCAUUUCUGUCUCAGGAUCUGGGAAUAAGCUCUUCCCUCUGAGGAGGGAAUCCUCAUCCUCAGAGAGACCGUCCCUACCACCUCAACUACAAAUCCUUUUCCAUUCAGUUUUUAUCUCAUACUGCUUUGUUUUCUUCACAGCAUAUAUGAUAUACAUUACAUCUUAUAUUUGACACCUCACGAGGGCAACUUUCUGGAAGUCCCAUUGUUUGUUUCCUAUUUCCACUCUUAAAUGUACAAUCUGCAGAACCAGAGACCUCGUCCCUCCUCACUACUUUUUCCCCCUGCACCCAGAAUGGUGCCUUUUAAAUAAAUUAUAACAAUGUUAAAAUGGGAUCUGUUUGGUCUUAGUUGCAGCAGAAGCCCCAAAAGUCAAGAAUAAUUUAAUAGGGGUGAUAUCCUAAUGUGUGUUAUACUAGCUCUUCUGCGAAGAACAUGCUGAGAUUCUGAAACUAGUUGUACCAGCAUUGGCAGGUCACCUCUGCCUAAUGUGAGGAUGAGGCUAAAGGAUUUUGAGAGGCAACAAGAGACCUGGGCAGAGGUCAGAUUCCAGAGCUCUGGGCACAGUGGUGAGAAGCCCCAUGGAGUCAGGGGGAGACGGAAUAGCACUAUGGCCAAAUUAUUUAAAAUAGUACUUUUUGAAUCUUUAAAAGUGACAGAAAAAAAUACAAUUGUGAAACGAGAAUGACUAGUUCUAAUUUUAAAUACAUGACAUCUGUUUAAAGCCGAGAAGGAUGUGACUUAAUUGAGGUAAUAGAAAAUAAAGGCUCCCAUAAUUUAAAGAGACUUUGAAUUAUGACAAGCUAAGAAAUAUAAUAUCCAGACAAUGGGCAAUGAUGUGAGAUUUGGGGAGAGAUGUUGGAUUAUCUGUGAUACGUUCUUUCCUUCAUGGUCUCCUCUCUAAUGUAUGAUUGCUUCCAAAUGUCAACCUGAUAAUAUUGCUUUCCUGCUUUAGGCCUUCAAACAUUUGUUGAAUGAUUUCUUUUCAUCCUGAAGAUAGCCAAAAUGGUGAACGUGGCCCUACACUUUCUGCUCCCUUCCUAAACCAUCCUGCCCCAUCUUUUCCCACUCCCUGGCUCUCCAUUCUGUAAUUCAUCUCUCUCAGUCCUCAAAGAUAGUCUGUUUCUUUUAACUCUAGUGCUUGCUCUUCCACUGUCCACAACAUUCUUCUUUCCUCCUCCUUUUGUGCUCUUCUCCUUCAAAGUUCCUGCUUCUUCGGUUUUCCCUGAAACUCUAAACUCGGUUAAAUCCUCAUUGUACGCAACCACAGCACUUAAAAAUUCAAAAUGCUCAUCCCACUUGUCACCUAUUUACAUAAGGUGUUUUUUCUCCACUAGAAUGUAAGCUCAACUUAUUCAUCAGCACUUCCCUGGUCAUCCACAUAUGGCCUAGUCCUUAGUAGGCAUUCAGUAAUUAUUUGUUGAAUUUUCUGUUGUGGAUUUAUGUUCUGGAGUGACAGCAUCAUAUAUGGAACCAAACAAUAUGACUGACUAUGUAUAUACAACUUCAUUUAUGAGUAGUAAGAUUACAAUCAAUGACUCAGCUAAACAUAGGUUGUGCCAUGUGUCAAUGCCGCAUAAUUUAGGACAAAAUAGUUAAUACAAUAAGAAAUGUUUAAUCAAGUUCUUUUUUAUAUGUCUAUUGCUGACGUUAGCAUUAAAAUAUCAACUUAUUUUUGUCCUUUGUCUCCGGCGAUAUUUCAAUAGCUUCUAAACAGAUUUUCAGCAUGACAGCAGAAAGUAUUACAGGACUAAAUCCAGGUUAACUGCAGGGCUUACACAGACAGACCAGGUAAAUGCUCAGAGGCAACAAAAACUGCCCGUAUGCUUUUCAGCCUUGUGCAAGGUUUAUCAUCUGGCAAAAUCUUCCAAGAAUUUAUCCUCCGGCAUUUUUCCUUUUCUGAGAAAAAUCUCAAGUAAAAUACGAAGCAGUAGAAUGUGGACAAAUAGAAAUCCUCCAAAAACUAAAUCACUUGUGGAAUGAUAAGACUUAAAGAAUUUGCGCAGGCAAGGAUCUAACGGAGAAAGUUGAACUCAACUGGUAUAUUUUCUUAUGGUAUCAGGUACAAUGAAAAUAUCUUCAGUCAUCUCAGCCUAUGGUGGAGAAGCUGAUCUGUUCAAUUUCAGCGAGCUAGUUGCAGCUAGGUCUAUGGUCUCCGUUCUCCAUCACCUGAUUCCUAAGUCAAGACAAUUUGUGGUGCAUCACAUUGAGUCUCUCUCUCUUUCACACAUUCACACACUUCCCUGUAAUAUAGUUCUUGCAAAGCAAUCUGAACAAGCACAUUUUAAUAUACAUUUGCAUCUUAGACUGUCUAUGUUCUUAUCAGCAUUUUCUUUUGGCAGAAGAGCACAAAAAUAAAGUACGUUAAAAAACCAACCUUUCUUGACUGAAUUAGCUUCUAGUAAGUGUAGAAAUAUACCAAAACUAAAGUGUUCUCAGAAAUAUGCCAUAGAAAUUCACUAAGCGAAACACUAAUCUAACUCUGAGAUUAGAGCACAUGGCUGCACUCACUUCAUUACCUGCAGAGAACAUUCUCUAGACUCACCUGCUUGUUUCUUUCCUUAAACACACAACAGAUGUACCAGAGUGAUUCUAUCAUUCUGGGUUAUAUAUUUCCUUUCAUAUUAAAAUAAAAAAUGUACAUAUUUCUCUCCCGUGCACAUACACUCACCAAAAUUUUCCAGUAGCAAUAAAACACUUAUAAACUUCCUAAAGGAAUAGGAUACUGUACAAAAUCUAGUAAAAGUUAAACACAAGGCUUUGCAAUGGAGGAGGAAGUUACAAUACUUCUAAAUGUAACUAAUUAUAUUUUUCCCUCUUAAAAUUAAAAAAUAAUGUGAGCUGAUAAGUCAAAAAACAUUUUAGACGGGGCCAGCCCAGUGGUGCAGUCGUUAAGUUUGCGCACUCUGCUUCAGUGGCCCGGGGUUUGCUGGUUCAAAUCCUGGGUGCGGACCUAUGCACCGCUUAUCAAGUUAUAUUGUGGCAGGCAUCCUGCAUAUAAAAUAGAGGAAGAUGGGCAUAGAUACUGGCUCAGGACUAGUCUUCCUCAGCAAAAAGAGGAGGAUUGGCAGCGGAUAUUAGCUCAGGGCUAAUCUUCCUCAAAAAAAAAAAAUUUUAGACACUAUGGGCCAUAAUACAGAUUGUUUUAAUUUUAAAAAUAAACUAAUAAAUUGCCUCUGAGCAGUAAAACAAUGGUCAGUGAUAUUUAGAUAACAAACUUAUUAAGUUCACAGAGACAUCUAGAUCUUAUACCCAGUAAGGAUUUAUUAGAAAAUCAAAUAUUGAAUAAUUUGUGAAGUGGUUAGAAUAAAGUUCAAAAGAAAUAUAAGCAAAUCAUUUCUUCUCCAACAAUUUGAAAUAUAGGAGGUUUAAACCUUACAUAUUUUUGUCAAAAUAGUAAUUAUCCAUAGAUGACAGAUGCUGCUCCCUACUUAAUGGAGGGUCUCAAAUCUUACUCUGCAUCUCAUUGGGAAGGAAAUAUAAAAUUUUAAAAUAGAAUUAACUCAGGGGAAGGCAUCAGUGCUGCAACUCUUAGCACCAAAUGUUUCUUCUUGGAGCACCAAAUGCUUUAAGGAAAACAUUCCAAGUAUCAAAGUUUUCAGAUAGAUAAAUAUUUAUGGAUCAAAUCCAUAAAGAACAGACAUUGUUAUGAAAUAUAUAUAGAUGCCUUCAAAACUUUCUUUCCAGGCAGAGUAGACACAUAAGUUAGGAGUCAUUUCCCACUUAAUUGUUUUUGCAACCUUAUGCAACACAAAUGGAUUAUGGAUAAAAACUUACUCGUUUAUUCACAGAAAGUAGAUCUUGACUGACAUGAUGUCCAAAAAAUUUAAAAGGAAUUAUUUCUCUCUAUAAAAUAUAAAAUGUUAUUAAACUUAUAGAAAUGGCUUUAUUCUAACUUUUACUCUCCUGGUUGAAAAGUGUAGAGGUUUUUAAUUUGAUCCUUUGGUGAGAAAACAGUACUCUUUAAAGCAACUUCUUCUCAUUUGCUGGUUAGCAUAAUCAGAGAAAAUCAUAACACGGAUCUGGUUCAUAUCUUUAAGUGCUAUGCAGCUCCUUCUGUCUUUGAACUUUAUGAAUGGUACACUUUUAGUCUACACAUAGACCAUUGCCUCUCCCUCUUCGUUGAGCGCUCCUCAUAGUGAACUGGAAAUCCACUUGCCUUACAAUCUACAGAAAGCCAUUUUGCCAGUUAAGGGCAGAGGUCCACUAACAUUAAUCUGUAGCAAAACGCAAGUGUCAUACAAACGCCCUAUGAUACUAGACAAAUUCAAAGUAACUACCAAAGAAACAGCCCUAGAUUCUGUAGUAUCCUUGAUGCCCAGAAAUACCAUUUAGGGGUGUGCACUGGUCAGAAAGGAAGUGCCAAUUUAAGGAAACAGCAAUAGGCCCUGUCCCAGAUGCAGAGGUCUACAAGAACUCAUUGGGUGUCCAUCAGACUUCCAAGUCACAUUGGUACACAUGGAUAAUUACUGCCAACAGUAUUAUUUGUGAACCUAAGGGAUAUUUUGAAACUGAAUAUAAUUCUUCCCUAAAACUAACCAGGACAAUCAUAUAUUCAACCUAACAAGCCUUGAGUUUAUGUGAGCUUAAAGAAAAUGGUAGCAGAGGCACAGGUAAAAUUUUAUUUAUGCAUAUGUAGACACAUGACUUUGGAUCCAGCCAGCCAGUGACAUAAAUAAACUUGAGCAAAAGAUUCAAGCUAGAGGAUAUAUAUAUAUGCAUAUAUAUAUUUGUGUGUGUGAGUAAGGCUUCUUGGAGCAGUGCCGCAAAUCUGGACACCAACCAACAGAAUCACUUCCGUCCUUUGAAAUUUCCAUUAAGAGCACAAUGGGGGUAAUUAUAUUGGGAUGCUCCAAAUCGCUCUUUCCAUCAUGUGCAUUCACAUGCCCGCCAAACAUGAAAUGUUCGCCUUCUCUCUUCCAAUGUGAUGGUUGUUGAACUUAUUUUUAGUGUCAUUUGAUAAGCCUUUGUGCUCGCAGAGAGACAUCCCACUGACCCAGCCACUGGUCAUUGUCUAGACCAGUUCACAUCAAAGCAGGCGUGCUUUGUCAGGUUUCGAGUCGAAUAUCCAUUUCGCAUCUGAAGUACAGUAUCGAAAGUGACUAGAUCAUUUGAGCUUUUUUCUUCAGCUGCUGCCUUCUUCCUCCCCCACAGUGCUUCCGCUCACGCUAACAUAAUUUGGCAUCGUCGACGUGACACGGUGGUUUUUCUAAAAAACUACAAUACAUACAUUUUCGAUGUUGUGUGGUGGCCGAGCCUCCUGAAAAUUUCAUUUACAAAUUGAUGAGAGGAGGUCUCUUUUUCCUCUCCUGAAUCAUAACCAAGGUAGAGUGCCCCUCAAAAUCCAAGUAAUGCGCAUACAGUAAUAGGUCAUUCAAUGUCAAAAAGGCAUAAAAAAGAUGAGCAAAAUCUUCACAGGCUGCUGCUUGCUGUUGCCUUUAAUUAUAUUAAUUAAACUUUGAAAUUUUCAUGCAAAGAGAGUUGCUGGCUUGUGACGCUGAAGAGCCCCUGGAGACUUGGAGGAAGAAAAAACCCUGAGCGGAAGCUUUGUGGUUACUGCUUCCCUUAAAUUAAAAACAAAACAAACUCCUAGGUAUGUUUACAGAUACUAAUGCUUUAUGCACUACUAAACCCCACGCAUAAAAAGAGGGGUAAAUCUACCAAUCACAGGGACAAGUUCUCAAAUCCUGAGUCUCUUAAACUCCACUCAAGAUCGCUGGUUAGAAGCCGUCUUCCUGUGGAAUAACGCUCUAUUAAUUUUCUUCUUUUCCCGAGUGCAUAAUGAAAGAAAGGUGUCUUCAAGAACUAAAGGGCAAAAUCUUGCUUGCUACCAAUACCUUGAGGCAUCCUGUCUACAUUUUGUCAUGCGUGUGCACUUUGCAGUGCUAGAAUGACAAGAUUUUCCAGUCAGAAGCUUCCCGUAAGGCACAUUGUGGUAGGGGACUUGGAAGGAUUUUGUGAUCUGACACAGCUCUAAGGCAACGGACUCCUUUAUUUGCUUAGCCUGGUGGGAAAUUUCAUACUCUGCCUGUGGCUAACCAUCUUGCCAUGUAACAACACAAGUGCCAUGUUUCCAUGUUAAACACUCCUCUCUCCAUUAAAGAUCCAUGAUGGCCAGUUGUUUUGUGGUCCCUGUUCUGAUAUCACCUUCAUGCUGUUUUUGCUUUUUCCUCUUCUACACAUUCAAACAAACUUUCCUGUGUAAACCGUAGCAUGUAGAUUAAUGUUCCUUUUUAUUUUCAGUGUCAUGAAUCAUGAGUUACCACUGGGUUUCAUCAACGCCCAUGUAGAUGGCAGAACAAGUGUUUGAAAAUGUUUGGUGCAAGCAAAGCAGAAGGCAGAGAAAACAUUUCCUGACUGAGAGGAAUAAAGCUGCUCUUCCAAAAACUUCUGAAAUGCACUUUCUUUUUCAUUUGGUUGGAAAUCAGCAGUGUGAAUAUGUACCAUCUUCAUACCUUCUUGGUCUUCCUGAUUUCCUUUUACUGAGACGGAACUCGGGAGAAAUUUAUGCACCGGCCCUAGGAAAGAAACAAAUUGUUAUUGAAAUAUUAAAGUAAGUAUAUAAAAGCAUAAGAACACUCUCAGUUUUCCUACCAUGAUAUAAUAAACAAUUACCUAAGGUAAAGUCAUUCAUACGAUGAAGGCAUAAGUUUUUUUCCUUUGAGUCAAAGCAUGAAUGUUUCAUUCAGCUCUUUUCCAUAGCAAGUUCACCUACACAAUGGUAGGGCAAAAUUAGAGUGGAAAAAACUCUAUGGAAAUUAGAACUAUGUUAUUGCUGUUUAAAGUAUAUAGUGUUACUAUCCCAGCAAUAAAAAUAUCAAGCCAUCACCUUACAUGUUUCUUUCUAUAAUGACCUAAAAUGAAAGUAUUUCUUCAUGCAAUCUGGUGCUUCUAAAAUGUAUACAUAAGGAGCACAUUUAAGACACAGAAAGAGAUUGAGGAUAAGCAGUCAGGGAGAAAGGGAAGAGAUGCCAUCUCUUUGUGAUUCUGUUUUAUAAAAGGCUUUUGCAAGAGACUUACUAAAGAUCUUGUUCAGUGUUGACCAUUUCUCACAACUGCACACCACCACGCACUCUCCAAAUAGUGACUAUUUAUUUGCAUUGCACAUUUCCAAAGAGACUUUGCCAUUUCAAUUCUUUAGCAGGUCAAUGAAGGUUGUGGAGACACAUUGUUUCAUAUGUAAUUAUAAAUAAACCAAGAGUCAUUUGAAAACAAAGUUUCCAAUUAGUGAUAAAAGAUCCCCCUCCUUUCUUCCCCUUGGUAUGGCACUGUUGAUGUACUUUACUACAUGGAUCAUGUCCAGAUCCCUCAAUAGGCCAAAAGCUAGCAUCCUGCUUUCUACUUCAGGGUAAAGACUAUCAUCCUAUUGAGAUUUUUCUGUAUCUCAUAAUACCAGCUCUCUAAUUUUAGAUGUAAGAACUUCUCUAUUUUCCUCUAAAUGUGAACAAUAAAUUUGUUUUAAAUAUUCAAUACAUGGUAAUAUUCAAAAGGAACAACAAAUAUUGUUGGAGAAGAAAGCUUAAAACAGAAAAACAGGAUUUUGUUCAUGUUCUUCUUAAAUAUGACUGCUCAAUAAACUUGAAAAUUUCAGAAAUUAAUGAAGAAACAGAAAAGCAUAAAAGCAAACUAGUUUCCAUUAGCUUUUGCCUAACAGGCAAACAUUCAUCAAAUUAUCUGUCUUCUAAGUAAUUUUGGAGGCAACAUUAUUAGUACAAUUGUCGAUUUUAUUACUUAUUUUGUGCCUAAUGUCUACAUAUAAUAUCUGUGCAAAAGGAAGGGAGAGAAAAGCAGAAAGAAAACCAUCUUAGAAAGAGGUCACAAUUCCUUGGUAAUGCAAUGGUCACAGGUCAAGUAGUCAGACUGUACUUUCGUAUUAUCUAGAACCCUCAAACAAGAUUUUUAGAAUGAACAUUAAGUGAAAAGAUGCUCUUCUCCAGCUUAGCUAAAUAUGACACCAAAUGCCAAGAAAACACUGAAAAUGUUAUUUUCAUGACAUAUCUCUUUUCUAAACAUGUUUUUCAAGGGCAGCAGGUACGAAAAUGGCAUAAUUAAAUAUUUCAGCAAAGCAAUAAAGCAGAGUUUCUAAGCUACAAUACUGUAACUUUUUAUGCAAUAAAAUAGAUUUUAGCUAUGCAUAUUAAAACAGUGAUAAACAUUAAAAAUAUUAUCUUCUGGCAAUUUUCCAGAAUCAAACAAAUAUAUGAGAAAUGACAUUAUGACAGCAAACAUAUGAAUUAAUGGCACCUUUUUCUUGUAUAUUUAUGAACUAAAAAAGUAAAAAUUUUCUCUCUUCUGAAUAAUUUUGAAAAGAAGUUGUCAUGAAUCUCUACUUUUGAGUUUCGUCACUACUUAACUGGUUUUAGAUAUAAGGCUCCUUCUCUGACCACUUCUGUUCUACACACAGGAUUAAUCUGGUGACUCUGAUUCAUUUACUUUAGGUAACUGGAUAGUUGAAAAAUCUAUGGAGAUUCAUAGUUCACCUGAAUUCUCAAAAUCACUUCAACACCUAAAUUAUUCCAGACCUAAGUUAUUUUCUAUUUCAUUUGGUGUGAUUUAAUUAAAGACAAGGAAACUCAAAUGAAAAGAAUUCUGAGAUUUUGACCCUGAGGUCCUUACUUCAAUUUUUCCAAAGCACAGGAUUAGUAUUGAUCAUCAGCUGCCAGCUGUCUAUUGAUUCAAGUAUCAAAAAACAAAAAAAAACCCCUGCUAAAUGCAAUACACACCCGUGUGUUUUAGCACACAUCCAUUAACAAAAACAACCAAAUGUCUUCUCCCCUCCUGAUCACGAACUCAGCAUUUUUCACUUUUAUCAAGAGCUGAUAAUGUCUCGGUGUACUUUUAUUUUACAGAAAUUUAAAGUUGGUAACUCGGAGGAGUUCUGUUCCAGAGUGACUUCCUCUGUUAAGCAUUACCUAGGUCUCCCAGGCAUGGAA
rnacentral:lncRNA from 1 species